rnacentral:rRNA from 2 species
UCAUGGCUCAGGAUGAACGCUAGCUACAGGCUUAACACAUGCAAGUCGAGGGGAAACGACAUCGAAAGCUUGCUUUUGAUGGGCGUCGACCGGCGCACGGGUGAGUAACGCGUAUCCAACCUGCCCACCACUUGGGGAUAACCUUGCGAAAGUAAGACUAAUACCCAAUGAUAUCUCUAGAAGGCAUCAGAAAGAGAUUAAAGAUUUAUCGGUGAUGGAUGGGGAUGCGUCUGAUUAGCUUGUUGGCGGGGUAACGGCCCACCAAGGCGACGAUCAGUAGGGGUUCUGAGAGGAAGGUCCCCCACAUUGGAACUGAGACACGGUCCAAACUCCUACGGGAGGCAGCAGUGAGGAAUAUUGGUCAAUGGGCGAGAGCCUGAACCAGCCAAGUAGCGUGCAGGAUGACGGCCCUAUGGGUUGUAAACUGCUUUUAUAAGGGAAUAAAGUGAGUCUCGUGAGACUUUUUGCAUGUACCUUAUGAAUAAGGACCGGCUAAUUCCGUGCCAGCAGCCGCGGUAAUACGGAAGGUCCGGGCGUUAUCCGGAUUUAUUGGGUUUAAAGGGAGCGUAGGCCGGAGAUUAAGCGUGUUGUGAAAUGUAGAGGCUCAACCUCUGCACUGCAGCGCGAACUGGUCUUCUUGAGUACGCACAACGUGGGCGGAAUUCGUGGUGUAGCGGUGAAAUGCUUAGAUAUCACGAAGAACUCCGAUUGCGAAGGCAGCUCACGGGAGCGCAACUGACGCUGAAGCUCGAAAGUGCGGGUAUCGAACAGGAUUAGAUACCCUGGUAGUCCGCACGGUAAACGAUGGAUGCCCGCUGUUGGCCUGAAUAGGUCAGCGGCCAAGCGAAAGCAUUAAGCAUCCCACCUGGGGAGUACGCCGGA